UGAUAAGGAAUUAAGACAAAUAUGUUAGUCCUUUCCUAAUGGGGACCUGGUGUGUAAUGGAUACAAACAGCAGCCCCCUUGGUAGUGUCUGCAGCCUAUUGCCUAUAAGGGUUGCCCUAAGGGACCUUGGAGACAAUU
ensembl:snoRNA SNORA70 Small nucleolar RNA SNORA70